rfam:Paludisphaera borealis strain PX4, complete genome.
GGGGAUGUAGCUCAAUUGGUUAGAGCACCGGCCUGUCACGCCGGAGGUUGUGGGUUCGAGCCCCAUCAUCCUCG